AAGAGUAUCCGGUAGGUGCAAAACAUCAGCCAGGCACUUGGUGCCCAAAGCCUUUGAUUACACCCCAGCUGGACAUCUAGAGCCUGGACGUCAGCUUGGGGAAAACCACUUCUUAUGCAGAAAGUAAAGCCCAGCAAAGGCCACCAGUUCCGGAGGCUGGAAGUCCAAGAUCAAAGUGCCAGCAACAGGCCUUGGGAGGGCCUGCCUCCUGGUUCAUAGAUGGCCAUCGUCUCCCUAUGUCUUCACACGGUGGAAGGGGCAAGGAAGCCUUCCCCACACACCUGCCCUUCACUCUGCGGAGCCCAGCUUCCUACUGCAGUAAACUCUCAUAUGGCCAAGAAGUUUCUCAGAGCUCUCCCAGAGCCAGCAAAGGGGCUGCUUACAAAAAGCCCUUGGAAGCUGCUUCAUUGUGGAAUCCACUCCCGCUCCUUGCUACUGCCUACAGGACAAGCAGCCCUCCUUUUUUGUCCUGCCACUGUCUGGCUGCCCCCUAACCCUCUACUAAUUAAAGCCACCAUUUGCUAUUUGUUUAACGUGAUUCAUUUCAACCUCAGAACAGCCAAGGCAGUGGAUAUUGGUAAUCUCAACUGAUCUUUAGGGAGGUUACAGGACUUACUCAAGAUCUUUCAGCUCAUAAGCAGAAGUGGGAUUUGAACCCAGAGUUAU